rnacentral:rRNA from 1 species
AGUGAACGCUGGCGGUAGGCCUAACACAUGCAAGUCGAACGGCAGCACAGUAAGAGCUUGCUCUUACGGGUGGCGAGUGGCGGACGGGUGAGGAAUACAUCGGAAUCUACUUUUUCGUGGGGGAUAACGUAGGGAAACUUACGCUAACACCGCAUACGACCUACGGGUGAAAGCAGGGGAUCUUCGGACCUUGCGCGAUUGGAUGAGCCGAUGUCGGAUUAGCUAGUUGGCGGGGUAAAGGCCCACCAAGGCGACGAUCCGUAGCUGGUCUGAGAGGAUGAUAAGCCACACUGGAACUGAGACACGGUCCAGACUCCUACGGGAGGCAGCAGUGGGGAAUAUUGGACAAUGGGCGCAAGCCUGAUCCAGCCAUACCGCGUGGGUGAAGAAGGCCUUCGGGUUGUAAAGCCCUUUUGUUGGGAAAGAAAAGCAGCAGGUUAAUACCCCGCUGUUCUGACGGUACCCAAAGAAUAAGCACCGGCUAACUUCGUG